AAGACACUAGUAAAAUAAAUAUUACAAUACCUUGUCGAGGCAUAGUUGUGGGAUAGAGCCCCGCGUGUCUUA
rnacentral:tRNA from 1 species